rnacentral:rRNA from 1 species
UACGUAGGGUUCGAGCGUUGUCCGGAAUUAUUGGGCGUAAAGAGCUUGUAGGCGGUUUGUCGCGUCUGCUGUGAAAACUCGAGGCUUAACCUCGAGCUUGCAGUGGGUACGGGCAGACUAGAGUGUGGUAGGGGAGACUGGAAUUCCUGGUGUAGCGGUGAAAUGCGCAGAUAUCAGGAGGAACACCGAUGGCGAAGGCAGGUCUCUGGGCCACUACUGACGCUGAGAAGCGAAAGCAUGGGGAGCGAACAGG